UUCAACGAAAACACGUGAUUUGCAUCUUUCAUUUUGUGUGAACACGUGUGCAAUUGUGACUUGUACAAAAUGUAAUAAGAGUUGUAUUCUUUUAAAAAUACUGCUUUAAUGAAAACAGGUUUGCUACACGUGUCAUAACCGCUUUCUUCCUUCAUUUUUCUUCUUCCGCGAAGUUCUCGACUUCUUCAGAGAGGAUCGAUGAGUGUUGCUGAUUGCCGAAGCUUUUUCAUUCUCUAUCGACUUCUUGUUCUUCUCCGAGUUUUCUUUUGUGAUUUUCUCUGUUUUUGCACUCCUGUGAUUCCUAUCUUCGAUUUCUUUAGUUCCAAUGGAUUUGUUGUUGUUUCAAUUGAUAAAUUAGGGUUUUGAUCUUUCAUGAAGACCAAGAUUAUUGUGAAACAGACAGAAAAUCUUAAUCUUGAAAGGUGACGGGAAUGGCAGGGAGUCCUAUUUUUUCCUCUUCUCAUUCGUAUCCUCCAUCUUCAUUCGCAACUGACUCCCAUAGCAUAAAUUGAAUUUACUGAAGGCUAUUUUGGUAUUUCCCGAGCCUUUGUCUCAUUUGUUAACUGACUUUUUACAUGCAUGCCUUCAUUGAUUGUUUUUCUUUUGUCAAUUUUAUAGCAGUCAAUGGCAUCAAGAAAAACUCAAUAGGAAAGAAUAGACAAAGGCUAUGUCAAUAAAAUUCCCCAAAGUUGGGCUUGCAUUAGAGGCAACGGGGUUGAUGAAAAUCAAGGCGAGAUAGAUAAAGAGUAGAUCACUAGACGUCAUUUUUGAAAUUCUGAAAGUCUAUAUUCGCUGGUACAGAGGUGUAAGGAGUUUUUAUUUAAAGAAGCAUUCCUUUUUAGUAUUUUAUAUGUUUUAUCUGUGUGAUAAAUGGGUGUGGUUUUGCCCGGAAAGAUAGUUCAAGUAUAGUCUGCAGUUAUUGUUCCUUUUAUUGUUACCAACUCUUCUAACAAAUCAUGAUUCAAGAAUAGUAUUUUAGUUUUCUCCCCAGAUUUACUAUUUUUUCUUGGAUCACAAUGAAAUUUAACUUGGGAAAGUUCUGUUUCUUGAGGUUUUAAUGGUUAUGACUGCUGAAUGCAUGUUUUUUGUGUUUACAGAAAGGUCAAUUCUUUUGGCUUGAAUAUGGGCAAGAUAGGAAGUGGUUGUUUCCAUCAGUGAAGAAAGUUGUCAAACAUUCUCCCAAGGAUUCAUCAGAAAAGAAGGUUUUCUAAAGAAUCCGAUUAUUCUAAGAUCGUAUUUGGUGGUACCUCAAAAUCUCCUUAUGUUGUGAUUUUUGGGAUGCACAAGAGUGAAGAUUGGCUACUAAGCUUGGGACUCCAACUCAUUGCAAAUGAUGGAUUAGGAUUUGCUUGUGUUGUAGUCAAAGACGCAAACAUUACAAAUUAUGAAUUCAGAUAUGAUUGUGUUGUAGUUGAAGACACAACGGUUCUUAUAUUUGUUGGAAAGGUUGAAGCGAAGUGGAAAUCUAAUGCUAAAGUUGUAUGCAAUUCAUUUCAUCUUUCUUAACAUUAGUGAUUCAAAUAGACAACUUGGAAAAACAUCUUACAUUAUUCUAUUGUAUUAAAACUGCCACUUACAUGAUAUCCUCUUUUCAGUUUGAUUUCAGAAUGAAAAAUGGGAUGAUCACAUUCUACUG